rnacentral:rRNA from 1 species
CCUGAGAAACCCAAAAGAUCGAAUGGGGAGAUUCAUCGUCAGCUCAUUUUAUAUAUAUGCUAGUUAUGAUAUGGGUUACUACUUGUAGUAUUGCCUGUACAUUCUUGUAUAUUUAAGUGUAAGGUGUUGUCGGCGUGCACUUCUCCCCUAGUAGGACGUCGCGACCCGUUGAGUUAUGUUGGUCUACGGCCCAAGUAGAAGCUUUUAAUGAAUUUUAUUCAUUGAAAACUCUUGGUGUUACCUGACUGGCGCUCGUCGGUAUUCGUAUGGUAUUGAGCCGCAUAUUAUAUGCGUCCAUAUCUGUCGCAAGCGAGGUUAGUUACUGAUAGUGCGGACCUAGUGCCGUCGUUGGUGCUAACCAGCUGUUGGUUGUACAGAAUUCUAGGACUGGCUCGUUGAAAUACCGGUCAGCGAUGCUACUGCUUUGG